UACUACUACUGCUACCACUACUACAACUACUGCUUCUACUACUGCUGCUACUACUGCUGCUCCCAAUACUACUGCUGCUACUACUACUGCCACUGCUGCCACUGCUACAACUCUGAAAGUCACUCCAAUGUACUCGGUGCUGCCCACGUGGCUGCUGCGUUCGCGUCUGUACGAGACCCUCUGCCCGGCAGGCGCCGGCUCCGUGCCUUCGUAUAAAUGUCGACUACCUCCUCAAGCUCCUGCUCCUCCAUCUCAAGCUCCUGCUCCUCCAUCUCAAGCUCCUGCUCCUCCAUCUCAAGCUCCUGCUCCUCCAUCUCAAGCUCCUCCUCCUCCUCCUCCUCAAGGCAGCAGUGUGGGGCGGUGCUGUACCCCGGGAGGCACCAGACAGAGUCACCUGCUGCCAGAGGGAGAGAUUUCCGCCACGGCCGCCACCGGGCCGGCGAAGUCUCCCGGCGACGCCGAAGGGAGAGGGGGGAGGAGCCGG